GCCUACGGCCAUGCCACCCUGAACGUGCCCGAUCUUGACUGAUCUCGGAAGCUAAGCAGGGUCAGGCCUGGUUAGUACUUGGAUAGGAGACCACCUAGGAAGGCCAGGUGCUGUAGGAA
rnacentral:rRNA from 1 species